GCUGGGCGUAGUGGUGUACGCCUGUAGUCCCAGGUACUUGGGAGGCUGAGGCAGGAGAAUCGCUUGAGCCUGGGAGGCGGAAGUUUCAGUGGGCUGAGAUCGUACCAUUGCACUCCAGCCUGGGUGACAAAGUGAGACCCUGUCUCAA
rnacentral:sRNA from 1 species